GCCAGCGUAGCUCAGUGGUAGAGCAACUGAUUCGUAAUCAGUAGGUCGAGGGUUCAACCCCCCCCGCUGGCU
rnacentral:tRNA from 1 species